UGCGGGGUGGCGUCUGCAGGCGCAGAGCAGCCGUGCAAACACACGCGUACACUGUGGCUGAGUUAAAAGGUCUGACAGCGGGCGCGUGCCAGGAGAGCUGAAGGCCCGUUGGACUGGCCUUGCAGAUGGCUGAGGCUGGAGGAAGUCCAGGGUGACAAAGGAGGACAAGAUGAUCACUGUGACUGCCAUCUAGUGGGCCUUAGUGCCAGACCCCAUGCAAAGUGCUUUGCCCGCAUUCUGUCUCAUUUUCACCCGUCUGUCACGUCAUCCCACAAGUGCUCAGUGAGCGGUCGCUCCGGAGCACAGGUGAAGCACAGAUGACUCUGGGCUAUGUCAAGUUGACAGUUACAGCUAACAUACACAGUCCCUGAGGAACUGAUUGCAGGAGUCUGAGGAGCAGGAUAAAGGAAUCCCCCUGUGGGUGGAACAAGGAGGUGCUCGAAGAGAAAGAGAAAGCAGAAGGGUGGAUGGGCGCCCCAGCUGGGGCAAGAAAACAGAGCAGCUGCCGUGUGAAUGGGCGUCACCUACACAUAGUCAACACCGCGGACCUGAGCACCGAAGUGGUCAAGAUGAAGUCUUCUCUGAUAGGUAUUUUACUAUAAAUAAACAACAUAAGUCAUGGCCCUUGUGUUGGAAGAGGCCAAGCUAGGUUUGAGUCAGGCCUGGUAUAUUUGACUGCCCCAACACCCCACUUCCAAAAUCACGGGGCCCCAGCCCAAAUGAGCGCACAGCCAUGACACCAGCACUGGGUAGGGAGCAGUGCGAACCAUACAGUGCCGUAGGGCCCCAACAUGAGCAUCAAUACUCCUCCCUCCCGCCAAUCCCUACCCCACCUUAUGUGCCCGGUCUGGUGCCAGCCAGUUAUCCAACUGUCCUCCAGAGAGUGACAAAAAGAA